UUGGAGGGCAAGUCUGGUGCCAGCAGCCGCGGUAAUUCCAGCUCCAAUAGCGUAUAUUAAAGUUGUUGCAGUUAAAAAGCUCGUAGUUGAAUUUCGGGGUCAGUAGGUUGGUCAUGCCACUGGUAUGUACUGGUCUCACUGAUUCCUCCUUCCUGAUGAGCCGUAAUGCCAUUAAUUUGGUGUUGCGAGGAAUCUGGACUGUUACUUUGAAAAAAUUAGAGUGUUUAAAGCAGGCUAACGCUUGAAUACAUUAGCAUGGAAUAAUGAAAUAGGACGUUCGAUCUUAUUUUGUUGGUUUCUAAGAUUGACGUAAUGAUUAAUAGGGAUAGUUGGGGGCAUUAGUAUUCAAUUGUCAGAGGUGAAAUUCUUGGAUUUAUUGAAGACUAACUACUGCGAAAGCAUUUGCCAAGGAUGUUUUCAUUAAUCAAGAACGAAAGUUAGGGGAUCGAAGACGAUCAGAUACCGUCGUAGUCUUAACCAUAAACUAUGCCGACUAGGAAUCAGACGAUGUUAAUUUUUUAAUGACUCGUUUGGCACCUUACGGGAAACCAAAGUGUUUGGGUUC
rnacentral:rRNA from 1 species